UGAGGUGUGGCUCAGUGGUAGAGCACUCGCCUAGCAUGUGCGAGGCACUGGGUUCAAUCCUCAGCACCACAU
rnacentral:tRNA from 1 species